UACGUAGGGGGCUAGCGUUGUUCGGAAUUACUGGGCGUAAAGCGCGCGUAGGCGGCCUGGUAAGUCCGCUGUGAAAGUCAAAGGCUCAACCUUUGAAUGUCAGCGGAUACUGCCAGGCUAGAGUCCGGAAGAGGCGAGUGGAACUCCUGGUGUAGCGGUGGAAUGCGCAGAUAUCAGGAAGAACACCAACGGCGAAGGCAGCUCGCUGGGACGGAACUGACGCUGAGGCGCGAAAGCGUGGGGAGCGAACAGG
rnacentral:rRNA from 1 species